UACGAAGGGGGCUAGCGUUGUUCGGAAUUACUGGGCGUAAAGGGCGCGUAGGCGGUGUGUCAAGUCAGGCGUGAAAGCCCCGGGCUCAACCUGGGAACAGCGCUUGAGACUGGCACGCUCGAGUUCGGGAGAGGAUGGUGGAAUUCCCAGUGUAGAGGUGAAAUUCGUAGAUAUUGGGAAGAACACCGAUGGCGAAGGCAGCCAUCUGGACCGACACUGACGCUGAGGCGCGAAAGCGUGGGGAGCAAA
rnacentral:rRNA from 1 species